CGAACCACUAUUUGAGAUCUGCAUAUUGACGCGUUGGUUCACAACGCUGUAAACAAUCUACGCUUUUGUGACAGUCUAGGCGCAGGUAGCAGGCAACCAAAGAAAACGCCGUCGGGUUACUAACGAAUGGUGAGAUGCCUGCCCAGACCCCGGAAGAAAGUGUUCUGCUAACCCAGUCUCGGUAACUUCCGCUUUGGGCAUUAAUGUCAACAGCACAAUUAACCUGUUAUCUGGAUCAUGUAGAGAUAGGAUUUCUUCGAGCGGUCCGUAGACAAGGAUUUAAAAGGAGUGUGAAUGUAUAUAACACCUUUAUACCAUUUGUUUUUCUCUAUAAUUACCGUAUUUGGUGUGCUUGCACAUAUUUUUAAAUAAAGUCCGCCUUUGAUUAUAACUCAAAUAAAAUUUAAAUAUAAAA